UACAGAGGUGGCAAGCGUUGUCCGGAAUUAUUGGGCGUAAAGAGCUCGUAGGCGGUUUGUCGCGUCUGCUGUGAAAAUCCAGGGCUUAACCCUGGACCUGCAGUGGGUACGGGCAGACUAGAGUGCGGUAGGGGAGAUCGGAAUUCCUGGUGUAGCGGUGAAAUGCGCAGAUAUCAGGAGGAACACCGGUGGCGAAGGCGGAAUCUCUGGGCCGUAACUGACGCUGAGGAGCGAAAGCGUGGGGAGCGAACGG
rnacentral:rRNA from 1 species